GGGGUUGUGGUUCAGUGGUAGAGUGCUUGCCUGGAAUGCAUGAGGACCUGGGUUCCAUCCUCAGCACCCCA
rnacentral:tRNA from 1 species